AAGCCAUUAUGCGGGCAAUCUCUUACUAGCUCUUAAACCUCGCCCAAGCAUCGCUGAGUGAUUCGUCAAUAUCCUGUUUAAAAUUGGUGAUCAACUUCCUUCUUCU